UCAUGGAAUUUAACAGUUCUUGUAUUGAUGGUGAAUAUCAUCUCACACACUACAUGUUGCUGCCAAACCUUGGCGGAUGAUAUGUCCGGAGAACUAUCAGGUGCCGUGAAGAAUACAAUCCAUUCGUGAGGGCUGACGGACCUACAAAAAAUAUCCACUUGCCAGAAUGUGUCCAUUAAGAGCCCUCCGAUAGUUAAGUUAGUCGGAGUUUAGGAAACAGUCGAAUGAGAAAAUCACGAGAAAACAUUAGAAAAAGUUUACCCCCAGUCCCUUUUUCAUCUCUCUUUAUAUAGAGGUGAGAUUCUUACCAUUAUCUCAUAAAUUUCGCCUCAUGGGGCAUGAAAGUUACGGAAUUGGUAGAGAUUGGAGUGAGUAGCUAAUGUCCUCCCGAUCAUGUCAUCAUGGAGUUAAAUCACCAUAAUCACAUCAUCGUAGAUAGUUAAUCCUGCUUUCGCAUUCCGCAACUACAUCCAUGAUUCCUAUUUUUCCGGAUCAUUAGUUAUGGGACGAGAUCAAUUGGAAAUCAAGCACC
rnacentral:lncRNA from 1 species